rnacentral:rRNA from 1 species
UACGGAGGCAGCAAGCGUUGUUCGGAAUUACUGGGCGUAAAGGGUUCGUAGGCGGCUCUAUAAGUCUGGUGUGAAAUCUCCCGGCUUAACUGGGGGGGUGCGCUAGAGACUGUGGGGCUAGAGUGUGGGAGAGGAAAGUGGAAUUCCUGGUGUAGCGGUGAAAUGCGUAGAUAUCAGGAGGAACACCGGUGGUGUAAGCGGCUUUCUGGACCAUAACUGACGCUGAGGCGCGAAAGCGUGGGUAGCAAACAGG